rfam:Procavia capensis cont1.576112, whole genome shotgun sequence.
UUGUAAAUUUAUACAUGAAGCUCCGUGGAGUGGAACUAACUCAGGCUCUUCAUGUUGCAGCUGAGGCUCGCUGCCCCUGGGGGGCAGUGAGCAGGGUCGGGC